CGGUGUUCAACUGGCGUGUCCGCGGGACGUCCUGCCGGUGGGCCUAGCCCGCCAAGGGCGGCCCAACUUCAAAUCCCAUCGCGGUGCUCUUCACUGAGUGUCGAGGUGGGCCGGCACGUUUACUUUGAACAAAUUAGAGUGCUUAAAGCAGGCUAAAACUUCGCCUGAAUACUGUGUGCAUGGAAUAAUGGAAUAGGACCUCGGUUCUAUUUUGUUGGUUUUCGGAACCCCGAGGUAAUGAUUAAUAGGAACGGAUGGGGGCAUUCGUAUUGCGACGUUAGAGGUGAAAUUCUUGGAUCGUCGCAAGACGGACAGAAGCGAAAGCAUUUGCCAAAAACGCUUUCAUUGAUCAAGAACGAAAGUUAGAGGUUCGAAGGCGAUCAGAUACCGCCCUAGUUCUAACCAUAAACGAUGCCAGCUAGCGAUCCGUCGACGUUCCUCCGAUGACUCGACGGGCAGCUUCCGGGAAACCAAAGCUUUUGGGUUCCGGGGGAAGUAUGGUUGCAAAGCUGAAACUUAAAGGAAUUGACGGAAGGGCACCACCAGGAGUGGAGCCUGCGGCUUAAUUUGACUCAACACGGGAAACCUCACCAGGCCCGGACACCGGAAGGAUUGACAGAUUGAGAGCUCUUUCUUGAUUCGGUGGGUGGUGGUGCAUGGCCGUUCUUAGUUGGUGGAGCGAUUUGUCUGGUUAAUUCCGAUAACGAACGAGACUCUAGCCUGCUAACUAGGCGUAUUUUCGACAUCUCAAAGGUCCGUCGUCCCGGCCCUCGGGUCGUGGGCGUGCGCGAUUUUUACUGUCGGCGUACUAUCAAUUCUUCUUAGAGGGACAGGUGGCUUCUAGCCGCACGAGAUUGAGCAAUAACAGGUCUGUGAUG
rnacentral:rRNA from 1 species